rnacentral:rRNA from 1 species
CCUACGGGAGACAGCAGUGAGGAAUAUUGGUCAAUGGACGAGAGUCUGAACCAGCCAAGUAGCGUGAAGGAUGACUGCCCUAUGGGUUGUAAACUUCUUUUAUAUGGGAAUAAAAUGUUCCACGUGUGGGAUUUUGUAUGUACCAUAUGAAUAAGGAUCGGCUAACUCCGUGCCAGCAGCCGCGGUAAUACGGAGGAUCCGAGCGUUAUCCGGAUUUAUUGGGUUUAAAGGGAGCGUAGGUGGAUUGUUAAGUCAGUUGUGAAAGGUUGCGGCUCAACCGUAAAAUUGCAGUUGAAACUGGCAGUCUUGAGUACAGUAGAGGUGGGCGGAAUUCGUGGUGUAGCGGUGAAAUGCUUAGAUAUCACGAAGAACUCCGAUUGCGAAGGCAGCUCACUGGACUGCAACUGACACUGAGGCUCGAAAGUGUGGGUAUCAAACAGGAUUAGAUACCCCAGUAGUC